CAUAAAAGUGGAGGCUAUUGUAACUGAAGAGAACUGGAAAGUUCCACCGUAGAAGGUAAUAGUCCUGUAAGUGAAACGAGAAGACCACGAGUUAUGAUCCAGAGUACCACGAGACACGUGAAACCUUGUGGGAAGCAGGGAGGACCACCUCCCAAGGCUAAAUACUACCUGAUGACCGAUAGUGAAGCAGUACCGUGAGGGAAAGGUGAAAAGAACCCCGGGAGGGGAGUGAAAUAGAACCUGAAACCGUGUGCCUACAACCGCUCAGAGCCCCUUAUGAGGGUGAUGAGGUGCUUUUUGUAGAACGAGCCAACGAGUUACGGUAUGUAGCAAGGUUAAGUACUUAAGGUACGGAGCCGAAGGGAAACCGAGUCUGAAUAGGGCGACUAGUUGCAUGCCGUAGACCCGAAACCGGGUGACCUAUCCAUGGCCAGGUUGAAGCGAGGGUAAAACCUCGUGGAGGACCGAACCACGUUGCUGUUGAAAAAGCAUGGGAUGAGCUGUGGAUAGCGGAGAAAUUCCAAUCGAACCCGGAGAUAGCUGGUUCUCUCCGAAAUAGCUUUAGGGCUAGCGUCGAGUAUGAGUAGUGGAGGUAGAGCACUGAAUGGGCUAGGGGGCAUAGCGCUUACCGAACCUUAUCAAACUCCGAAUGCCACAUACUUUGAGCUCGGCAGUCAGACUACGAAUGAUAAGAUCCGUGGUCAAAAGGGAAACAGCCCAGAUCGUCAGCUAAGGUCCCAAAGUGUAAGUUAAGUGGGAAAGGAUGUGAGAUUUCUAAGACAACUAGGAUGUUGGCUUAGAAGCAGCCAUUCAUUAAAAGAGUGCGUAAUAGCUCACUAGUCGAGAGAUCUUGCGCCGAAAAUGUAACGGGGCUAAACUUACCACCGAAGCUACGGGCUUGAACUUAGUUCAAGCGGUAGGAGAGCGUCGUAACCGGGCUGAAGUCGUACCGUAAGGAGCGGUGGACUGGUUACGAGUGAGAAUGUUGGCAUCAGUAGCGAGAUGUGGGUGAGAAUCCCACAGGCCGAAAACCUAAGGUUUCCUCAGGAAGGUUCGUCCGCUGAGGGUUAGUCGGGACCUAAGCCGAGGCCGAAAGGCGUAGGUGAUGGACAACUGGUUGAUAUUCCAGUACCACUACCAUCGUUAUUAUCGAUGGCGUGACGCAGGAGGAUAGUGUGUGCUAGCUAUUGGAUGCUAGUCUAAGCGUUUAGGCAGUGAGAGUAGGCAAAUCCGCUCUCAUAAUGCUGAGGCGUGAUGGGGAAGGUUCUACGGAACCGAAGUACAUGAUUCCACGCUGCCAAGAAAAGCGUCUAGAGAGAGAAGUAGUGCCCGUACCGCAAACCGACACAGGUAGGUGAGGAGAGAAUCCUAAGGCCGGCGGAAGAAUUACAGUUAAGGAACUCGGCAAAUUGACCCCGUAAGUUCGCGAGAAGGGGUGCCUACGAGAGUAGGCCGCAGAGAAUAGGCCCAAGCAACUGUUUAGCAAAAACACAGGUCUCUGCUAAAGCGUAAGCUGAUGUAUAGGGGCUGACGCCUGCCCGGUGCUGGAAGGUUAAGGGGAACACUUAGCGCAAGCGAAGGUGUGAACUUAAGCCCCAGUAAACGGCGGCCGUAACUAUAACGGUCCUAAGGUAGCGAAAUUCCUUGUCAGGUAAGUUCUGACCCGCACGAAUGGCGUAAUGACUUGGGCACUGUCUCAACUGUAAAUCCGGCGAAGUUGUAGUGCGAGUGAAGAUGCUCGCUACCCGCGAUUGGACGGAAAGACCCCGUAGAGCUUUACUGUAGCUUAGCAUUGAGUUUUGGUAUUGUCUGUACAGGAUAGGUGGGAGACUAGGAAACCAGGGCGUCAGCCUUGGUGGAGUCAACCUUGGGAUACCACCCUGACAGUACUGAAAUUCUAACUGGCGGCCAUGAAUCUGGUCACAGGACAUUGUUAGGUGGGCAGUUUGACUGGGGCGGUCGCCUCCUAAAAAGUAACGGAGGCGCCCAAAGGUUCCCUCAGAACGGUCGGAAAUCGUUCGAAGAGUGCAAAGGCAGAAGGGAGCCUGACUGCGACACCCACAAGUGGAGCAGGGACGAAAGUCGGGCUUAGUGAUCCGGUGGUACCUCGUGGGAGGGCCAUCGCUCAACGGAUAAAAGCUACCUCGGGGAUAACAGGCUGAUCUCCCCCAAGAGUCCACAUCGACGGGGAGGUUUGGCACCUCGAUGUCGGCUCGUCGCAUCCUGGGGCUGAAGUAGGUCCCAAGGGUUGGGCUGUUCGCCCAUUAAAGCGGCACGCGAGCUGGGUUCAGAACGUCGUGAGACAGUUCGGUCCCUAUCCGUCGCGGGCGUAGGAAAUUUGAGAGGAGCUGUCCUUAGUACGAGAGGACCGGGAUGGACUGACCUCUGGUGUACCAGUUGUUCCGCCAGGAGCACAGCUGGGUAGCUAAGUCGGGAAUGGAUAAACGCUGAAAGCAUCUAAGCGUGAAGCCAACCUCAAGAUGAGAUUUCCCAUAGCGUAAGCUAGUAAGAUCCCUUGAAGAACACAAGGUUGAUAGGUCGGGGGUGUAAGCAUGGUAACAUGUUCAGCUGACCGAUACUAAUAGAUCGAGGGCUUGACCAA
rnacentral:rRNA from 1 species